rnacentral:rRNA from 1 species
UAUUAUUCUGAGUGUAAAUAAAUUAUUUUGAGUAGUAUUAGCUAUGUUCUUGAAACUUAAAGAAUUUGGCGGUAUUUUAGUCCUUUUAGAGGAAUCUGUCUUGUAAUCGAUAUUCCGCGUUGUACCUUUCUUUUAUUAUCUUUGUAUACCUCCGUUAUGAGAAGAUUCUUUAAGGAGUAAAAUUUUCUUUUUUUUUUGUAAAAAUUUAUUUCAGGUCAAGGUGCAGGUAAUAUUCAAGUUUAGAUGGAUUACGUUGUUUUUUAUUUUUUUUGGUUUCAUUUUGAAAAUUUUGAUUAAAUAGGAUUUAAUUGUAAUUUUAUAUAGAUUGUUAUUUUGAAAAGGCUCAGUAAUAUGUACACAUCGCCCGUCACUCUCGUUUUUAAUAUGAG